UGCACUAAUUACCAUCCAAGCCCAGCUCCGGGGUUUACUGGCAGCGAGGACCUAAAGUCAGUGACAAUUUUGGAUGGGUCUGGCAAAGGUGAGAGCAGGGCUAAGUGCUUCACAGCUGUGGCCCCCUACCAGGUGCCCCCAGUUUAUCUCCCCUCUGCCAGUGCAGUAAGGAGGUGAUAGCCAGCAGGAGUGAGGGACAUCAUGAAGGUUAUGGAGCUCAGCUGUUCUGCUGACACCCCCACCCAGGGUAUAUAUACCUCUCCAGCCCCACUGCCAGGGUUUUGUGUCUCCUUCUGGCUGUUGUUUGUGCUGGAAAUCCUGGUUUGUCCUCCCCCACUUCACCAAGCUCAAGUCCUUCAUGAAAGGAAGAACAAAUAUGUUCUGGGAGGCAAACAACGGAGGUGAGAAAGAGGAGGGAGAGCAGAGGGGAAACAAACCGCAUCUUCACCUAUAGAGCUUUAUUUAGCUAUCUGCACCAUGGAGCUUGCACGAUAUUAUUGUGUUGCUUGAUUUUUCCAAGCACCGACUCCAAGCUGGCUGGCAGCAAGAAGCUCCUUCAGAUGGCCACAGAAAGACCUGCUCAUUCAUCAAAGCUCAUUGCUGCUCGGUGGGACAGCAGGAGGACUUCCCCAUGCCUUUUCAGAUGGAAGCUCAGCACUGCAGCACCUCGAUCACCCCAGACAAGUCAGGGCAGGGCAGCCAUGCCCCAGCCACGGUUUGCAGCGCAGGAUGGAUGAGCUUUCCUUUGAACUGCUGAACUACAAAUUCCCCUCCUGGCCAAGCAACCAUGGCAGGUGGGACGAGGAGGGAAAAGAAAGAGUUGCUCAGCGAAUAACGUACUGGGACACUUUAAGGGAUGCUGUCUUGGAGCAGCUGUGAGAGGUCCCCUUAGCAAAUCCUGCUUCCCAACUCACACAAGGGCUGGAGAUACCCAGAGGUUGUGGAGCGUGUUUUGAGGAUGACCUUCAAGAAGCCUAUUGAGCAGGUACGCCUGUGUCUGGAGGAGACGGAGGGCAAUUUUCAAAUUUCAUCCACAUGAUGGAUGUGGAAGGGAAGCUAUGGGAUAUGAGGACACCCAACCAGAAACAAGCUGCCUUUUUGUUGUUAAUAGCCAGGAAGUCUCUGUGGUGCAGAUGUGACAGCAACAGCAAAACCUAUUUCGAGGUCCUGUCCCAUGAAGUAGCUGUGACUACAAAUUGCUCCUUAAUAAUUUCAUCUACCAUAUAAACUUGCUGGAGAAAGCUCUUCUUCAGCUAGCUAUGGAACCUGGACGAAGACUGAAGUUAUCUGCUCAGCUUUCCUGUAAAGAGAGCAAGGGUGAAGAAGGAAAAAUAGAAAUAAAUCCAUGUCCCACAGUCAAAUUAGCCUUACAUGGGAACCCUGGCUCAGUGGAUCCCUGCAAGCCUGACAUCUCUUUGACUUUAGUGCCUGCCAACUGGAAACCUUGUUUGGUGUGUUCCUGAGAGGAAAUUUCACAGGGGGCAAGAAGGAAAGCACCCCUAGCAUCAUAGAAGAAGGGGUAUGUAGGGAGCUAGACAGGAUUACUAAAAGCAAUGGGAUUUUAGCUUGGUCCCAGCUGUACAAUCACAACCACUGCCAAGAGAGACAGUAAAGCUUUAGGGAAAAGAAUGGCUAAAGCAGUGAUGAUUUCUGAGAUAUCUAGAAAGAUGUGCACACUGUGAAUUGGGAAAGAUAAGAAGGGGAAGAGAGUUACCAACAUGAGUCUUAAGGCUUUGACUCUCAAGGAGAAACAAGCCUACAGAGCCAGGUUUGAGCUCCUUUUGGGCCCAGAGAGGAGAUAUGCUUGGAAAAGCCCUGGAGCAUAGCGUUGAGAUCAGAAGCAGCCGGCUUCUGAUCCAAAGGCCCGUGAGAAGGACCUGUGAUACACUCCAGAUCCCAGUCUGUUAGUGCUGCUCUUAGAGCAGUUACCAUUCUGCCUUUCUGCAAAGCCUCAUGCACUGCAUUAAACCCAAGGGCUCUUUACACAGCUAGGAUACAGAAAUUAAUCUUUGCAAAGAGUCCCUUGUCUGUACACUCCCCAGUCUCACUUCAUCUCCCGUGAAGGUUUAAGGAACUCUGCAGCUCCACAACCUCCUGAAAUACUUCCCGUCAGAGCUUUCCUUGCUCUUAUACUGAUCUUCCUGAUGGCUUAUCCUUCUGGUUAUCACAGUGAUAUAAUAUCUUUGUGUUCCUCACAGGAAAAAAAAAUAAAAAAAAAUCUGUCGGCAAAAACAAGGUUGGGAUGUCUCUGGUUCUUGUCUUCUUUAUGGCUAAAAAGAUGUCUCUCUUUCAGAUGUGGAGAGUUGGUGAUGCUGUGAAUGUCAUCCUGCUUUUGAUGGAAAAGGGGCAGGGUUUUUCAGUGUUUCCCAAAGGUGCUCUAAAUGGAUUUGUCUCAUUUCCGCUGCAAGUUUGUCCCACAGCUGGAUCUCUUCAGCUGGGAGACUUUGUCUCUGGUUUGUGCGCUCUUUAUGCUGGGCUUUGUGAUCUGCACUGUCACGAGGAGUGUAAAUGUCCGCCCAGUGUGCAGAUGGGAGGAGGUUUGAGGUGUACAGGGCACAGCACUAAUGACCGAAGAUUAGCUGUGAGGAGCUCAGUUAGGAAGAACAGGGGGGAGUCAGCAAAGGAGUGAGUCACAUUUUACAGGCAGGGAGCCUUUGUCUUCAUUUUGUAUUUGCCCUGAGAUACUGUGUCUGAGUCGCAGAGGCUGUACACAGCUCCAUUACAGACAUGUCUGGGGAUUACAGGUGCCUUUCCUCUCAGUUAUUGAAGCCGUGUCGUUUCUAUUCUUUUGCUUUUAAUAUACCUUUCUCAUGCAACAUUCAUUAUUCUGGCUUUCAUACCUAAAUCCCGUUCCCUGAAGAGGUGGGAAAUCUCAUUUCCGGGAAUUUGUGCCUGUCUUGGUGAAUUCUUAAGAGCUCACCAAGAUUAAGGGUGACUUUCUGCCCCCACCUCCUCCCUGUCAGUAAACCCAACACUCAAGCAUGCGAGUUGCUCAUGCAGAGCCAUUCGGCAUAAAAUGGGCCACAGGCACUCAGCCUCAUGGGACCUGCACUGACCUUCAUUGGGGAUGUUUUCAUCCUUCCCCUUGGUGGCCUCAGCACUCUGUCUUGCUGUCCUGAGCAAGUUUAUUCUGAUAUUAUAUCAGCUGGGGGGAAGCUAAACUGGAUUCAGAGCUGCUUAUUAAAAACUGCCUCUGUUAUGCUCCGUUUUUCCUCCCCAGGCCCUGCCACCAGAAGCCCACCCCCAGCUGAGCCUGCCCCAUCUCCAUGCUGCCUGGCCCCACCUCAUAGCUGGUUCCUUGUGCUUGGCAGCACACCUUGUUCUCAGAGGUGUUUCGGUUCCUGAUGGCGUCCUAGGAGGGGAGCCCGUUGCCUUUUGUCCGUUGAGCCUGGCCGUUCCCACUGAAGCCUGAUUUCAUGUGAGAUUGUGGAGUACAUCAAAGCAGAAGGAUAACAAAUGAAAUAAAUUGUUCUCCUGAGAGCCUGGCUUGUUGGUUCAAAAAAUUUGUUUGGCCUUCUACUAUCAGCAUGCCAGUGUGAGAUGAAAUGUGAAGACAUGGAAAUUCAUGACAUGUAACAACAAUGUGUCUCAGGAGUGCCUUUUUUUU